GAUAAACGCUAGCUACAGGCUUAACACAUGCAAGUCGAGGGGAAACGACAUCGAAAGCUUGCUUUUGAUGGGCGUCGACCGGCGCACGGGUGAGUAACGCGUAUCCAACCUGCCCAUCACUUGGGAAUAACCUUGCGAAAGUAAGACUAAUACCCAAUGAUAUCCCACGAAGGCAUCGGAAUGGGAUUAAAGAUUUAUCGGUGAUGGAUGGGGAUGCGUCUGAUUAGCUUGUUGGCGGGGUAACGGCCCACCAAGGCAACGAUCAGUAGGGGUUCUGAGAGGAAGGUCCCCCACAUUGGAACUGAGACACGGUCCAAACUCCUACGGGAGGCAGCAGUGAGGAAUAUUGGUCAAUGGGCGAGAGCCUGAACCAGCCAAGUAGCGUGCAGGAAGACGGCCCUAUGGGUUGUAAACUGCUUUUAUAAGGGAAUAAAGUGGGUCACGUGUGACUUUUUGCAUGUACCUUAUGAAUAAGGACCGGCUAAUUCCGU
rnacentral:rRNA from 1 species